rnacentral:rRNA from 1 species
AACGAACGCUGGCGGCAUGCCUAACACAUGCAAGUCGAACGAGACCUUCGGGUCUAUUGGCGCACGGGUGCGUAACGCGUGGGAACCUGCCCUUAGGUUCGGAAUAACUCCCCGAAAGGGGUGCUAAUACCGGAUAAUGUCUUCGGACCAAAGAUUUAUCGCCUUUGGAUGGGCCCGCGUUGGAUUAGCUAGUUGGUAGGGUAAAAGCCUACCAAGGCGACGAUCCAUAGCUGGUCUGAGAGGAUGAUCAGCCACACUGGGACUGAGACACGGCCCAGACUCCUACGGGAGGCAGCAGUGGGGAAUAUUGGACAGUGGGCGAAAGCCUGAUCCAGCAAUGCCGCGUGAGUGAUGAAGGCCUUAGGGUUGUAAAGCUCUUUUACCCGGGAUGAUAAUGACAGUACCGGGAGAAUAAGCUCCGGCUAACUCCGUG